GUAGAGAACGAUCACGCGCUGGAUAUUUGAUCGCUUCUACAAGUGAACUAUAAAUAGUUGCUACUUGCUUCUGUGUGUUAGAACAUUUAAAACGUAACUACUAAAAAGCUGUAUAGAAAAAAUUUUCUGUUUCAAAAAUGAAUCCAAAAAAUCUAUUUGUGAUAUUUUUAAUGAUAUUGCUUCCUGAAAAUUUACUAACUUCGAAAGUUAAAAUAAAAAAUAUCAAAUUAUUAAAUACUUUUUGACUUUCUGCAUGAUUAUCUACAAUCUCAAGUUUCCAUGAGAAUUCAAUAAAUAGUUAUAUAGCUUCUCAUCAGAAUCCAUCAAAAAUAUUUGAUAUCAUAAUUCUUCUGUGGAUUUUCUGAGAUCUUAUUGAAUAUCCUAUUGAAUUUCUGUGGGCUUCUACAAGAAUCAGUAACAGACCAUAGAAAUAAGAUUAGUUCCAAAAACGUUCCAAAAAUAUUCAUGACUGUGAUCAUUCCAAAGUUAGGACAGUUGGGAAUAAAAAAUGAACACUUUUUAAACAUUGAAAAAAUUAGAAGUGUAAAAAAUGUAAAACAAUGGUGUAUUUUUCUUGCAGGGUUUUUAUAUUUUUUGAGCAAAAAUAAUUUAGAUUGACAAUUAAUGGUUUUAAAGAACUUAAAAAAAAUAUACUCACUCGAGGAUUAUAAAGAUUAUAAUGUCAAUAUAUUGACUCCUACCAGAAUUUUUCAAGUCUGAGGCUAAAAAUUUUUGCUUUUGUAUUUUUUUAGUUGUUUUAAAAUUAAAGAUUUAAGAGUUACUAUUAACGGCUUCUGGCUUAUACCGGAAUCUUUUGUUUUAUUUUGUUUAAAAACACCCGGGAAAAAAUGAUCAGACCUGAUGAUGCUUGUUCAUCUAUGAUCAGGCCUGAAAUUAAACAUGAUCAGGCCUGAUCAUACCUGUCCAUGCCUGUUCAUGUCUGAAGCGUUAAAUACACUCAGGCCUGAUCAUGUCUGUUCAUGUCUAUUCAUAGCUGUUCAUGUAUUUUCAUGGCUGUUCAUAUCUGCUCAUAGAUAUGAAAUUUUGUUGACCAAGAAUCUAUCACAUAUAAGAUUUUUAUUACUUAAAUUUCAUACGGAACUUACUUUUCAACUAAAUCUCUUAGGUCAGUAGGUAGCGAGUUAAACUUUCGAGCACAAGGUCCACGGUCCCUAGCGAAUUCGGUCAUACUUGAAAAAUACUGAAAAUAUCUACUGAAUUUUAGCCCAGUUUCGGUCAUUUUUCGGUAAUAUACCAAAAAACAACCCAAAUUAUACCUAAAUAAUGCCUCUAUUUUGGGUAUGUUUGUGAACUUUAUAUACCUAAAAAAUACUAUAAUUUUUUUUCUUAAAUGUUAAAUUUAGCAGAUUCAAAUUUUAAUAUAUUAACUAAUAAAUCAAUUUAAUAAUAAAAGUAAGAAAUUAAUAGGAGAGAAAUAAAAUACAUGUUUAUUCAAAUUUUGAAAUUUUUAAUAAAUUAUAAAUUCGUUAUUUUAUUAAAUUUUUUUUAGAACAAUGAAAAUGAAAAGGUUUUUGAUUUUAUUAAUAAAAAACAUAAAAAUAAUUUCCGAUUAUUUUUGAAUAAAUUUCGCUCUUCGCUGUCUGUUAGGAAAUAUUACAGACCUCUCGUUUAGUUUUUUUCGUGCAAAUCGAUCGUUUUCAAUAAAAUCUGUGACCCAUUGAUAGAUAUUAUGUUUAGGGUUAUGUUUCUUAGUAUGCUUCAAAAAUCUUGUUCUUUGUAGAGCCUGUUUACUUCCAUUAUUUUUUAUUAGUUGACACAAUCAUUUAUAACUUACACUAACAGCGCCAGUAAAACAAUUCAGAAUAAAAAGUUUGUAUUAAAUGUAAUUAAAUCUUUCCAUUCUAAAAAUGUGAGUGUAUAAGCUGUCUCUAGAGAAAUACAUAAUAUUGUAUAUGAAUAGUUGGUACAACAGGAUUCAAGCUGAAUAGUAAAAUGUGAUUUCAUUUAUAAACGCCAUCUAUACGAUAUUUCACAAAUAAUGAUUUUUUUCAGUAUAGUUUGGGUAUGAAAAGUUCACAAACAUACCCAAUAUUUACGUUAAUUUCAGUAUUAUUUCGGUAUGAUUAAGGCAUUAUUCGUAAAACGUACCCAAAUGUUAUCAAAUGUAUUGUGACGAGGCAAAAUCCUAGCCUCGGUUGCUAGCCAUAUUUUUAAAUAUACUUUCAUUUAACUAAUCGACGUCGCGACAACCGAGAGGCACUGAUAUACGUACGACUUUAGUCGCACGGUCUCUCUUCGCAGAACCUCAUCACCUGGUGGUGGGCGACACCUGCUAAAUACUUCCCUGGAGGCGCAAUGCUCCACCUCAGGAGAUCGUAAGCCGACCCACUGGUACAGACGUUGGUCCAGUGCCCUGCAGUCCACCUUGCAGGGACAUACGCGGCUGGCUCACUCACACAGGUGAGGCCAGUUCGGCUUAUGUGGCGCCAUCUCUGAGGGAGAAAACUCAAUACUUUGUAUUCGAUCGUUGAUUGAGCGACUGAGUGUGGUAUCGCUCCCACUGUUGCAGCCGCGUGGAUACGCCUAAGCCCUAGCAAUUCCCUAGGUGACGUGAGGUUGGUCAACUACACAAAAGGAACCAGGGGACUUUUUUUUUGGAGGGAAGUCACUCUUGGUUGAUUCGCAACGCUGAUCGGUUGGAAAAAGUAUUUCUUUUGUUUGAUUAUUUAUAAAACGUAAAAGCUUUGCCUUUCUAUUGAAUAAAGUGCUAAGUAAUUUUAAACUUUACUUCGUGUUGUCAUUGUUGUUUAAAAGUACCUGUCCAUUAGUUUAACGAUAAUAACUAGUGCAUUCAACGCUGCGUAGCACGUGUCAAACUAGUACUUAAGCUAAAGCCAAAAGGUAAGUCCGUAUUUAUUUAUCUGCUCAAUACCCAUUGUCCAUGACUAUCCUGGUGAGGCCAACAUGGCAGCCUAGUGGAAGAAUAAAUAAAUUGCGUGACCCAGCCCCGUAACGCUGCUUAGAAAACAGCGUAAUAAGUAUUAACCGAACGGAUACCUGUCCUCGAGGUUAAAUUGGCCGAGGAGAAGGCAUACUGUUUUAGUAUACUAUGUCUAAAACACACUCAAAAUAUACCCAAACUUUCGGUAUGAUCGAAUUCGCUAGGGGUUCAAAUCCUCCACAAGCCCGAAUUUUUUAUUUGUUUUUUUAUUUUCAUAGCAAUAAUUAUACAUGAUAUAAUGUAGUUAUACAUAAUUAUAUAUUAGUAUAUAGGGCCAUUUUUUAUAUUUAAUUUUUUUUCCCGGAUGGGCAUGAACAGACAUCAACAUACCUGAUCAGACCUGAACAUGCCUGAUCAGGCGUGAUCAGGCAUGACCAGGCAUGGUGAUUUUUCAUGUCUGAUCAGGCCUGAAGACUUAUGCCUGUUCAUGUCUAAUCAUUUAUCCCGGGCAGUUCAAAAUGUUAAUGAUUGGAACUAAUUGUGAACAUUUUUUGACUCUUAUUAGAACUUUUUGAGAAAUAAGGGUUUUUGUAUUAUCUUGCUACAUAUUCAGAAAUUAUUAAAAAAAAGAGUUAUUGGAACCAAUUAUAAGCACUCUUUUAAUCUUGUUAGAAUUUUUUGGGAAAUUUUGACUUUAGUAUUACUUUGCUAUUUCUUUAGAACUUGUUACAAAAAACGUUAUUGGAACAAAAAAAAAACAUUUGUUGACUCUUAUAAGAACUUUUUGGAAAAUUUGGGGUUUUAUACUAUCUAGCUACUGCUCAGAAUCUGUUGAAAAAAGGAGUUAUUAGAACUAAUAAUAAACAUAAUUGAAAACAUGAAUAAUAUGUGUUCACAAAAAUUACAUUAAAACGUGAAAUAUAUAGAUCGGUAGAUUGAAAUCUCUUCUACUCCUGUCCGAAGUUUUAGAAACCUCCAAAAUUUUCUACCCGAGAUGUAAGCAAUUGAAGGUUAAGAAACAUGGUUUUUGCGGAGUAUUAACUCAAUCAUAAACUUUGAUUGUUUAUAACCCCAUUAAUAAUUGUUCUGUGGCUACGCUGUUCUUUUUUGGUGUAUAGUAGACCCCUUCCGAAUAGAAUUCACGGAAAAAGUUUUUUUUUUUCUAAAUUAUUGCUAUAAUUUAUAAUUUAUCGUCACAGGCUAUCUCGGGAUCUAAUUGAGAUACGAAUUUUAUUUAAAUACAUAAAAAAAAUCAGCGUAGCAACAGAGCAAUUAUUUACAGAGUUAUAAAUAAUCAAAUUUGCUACUUGAAUAUAUACCCCCCUCCCAGAAACUACGUGUUUUAACUUUCAAUCGUUUAUAUCUCGAGUUAAAUAUUUUUUAGGUUUGUAAAAUUUUGGAUAGGAGUAGAAGAGACUUCAAUCUACCGAUCUAUAUAUUUCACGUGUUAAUGCAAUUUUUUUAAACACAAGUUAUUCAUGAUUUAAAUUUAGGAUCAAUACUUCAUAAACUGAUAGUAUAUAGAAAUAUAUAUGAAUCAUAUGUAUUCAUAUAUAUUCAUAUCAUAUCCUAGAUACAUGAGAGAAAAAGUUAAUAUUGUAUCGAAUGACAAUCCAGGCAAAGAAAUCUAUAGGGGUAUUGUAAAGAUGUUUUCCAUGCUCUAGGAAAUAUUUUCAUGGAUUCUUAUAGAUUACCAUUGAUUUUGUGAAAAUUUCUACAGAUCUCUAUAUACGAAUUUCCAUAAUAAUGCUACAUUACAAUAAUAUCUUAUAAAAUUAAUGCCCAUCUUAAUUGAUAAAAAUAACUAAAAUCAUAAUUUAGGACGCAGACAAUAAUAUUUGUGACUUAAGUGUGUCACGAUAUCAAAUAUUAUUCGAAAUUUACAUUGUUGCGGUAAGAACUGUAGCCAAAGGUUACAUAAUGAAAGCUUAUGCUUAUAAGUAUCGACAAUUGCAACUAUCAAACUCACAUCAAUGGGAAGCGAAGUUGUACAAUGCUGAAAAUCUUUAUCGAAAUUCAGUAAUCGAUAUUUCGAAAGCAGCGCGUGAUGUUAUGGCUAGUGAACCUAAAAUAAUAAGACGCUGUGAUCCCAAAAAUUACAGUGAAGGUGUGAAUUACAAACGCUAUCAAUUUUUAUCAUUGUAUAUUACUUCUGAUCGUGUAAUACAGACGGGAAAGAAUUAUUAUCAAAGAUAUCUUUCUCCUACUGUAAGAACUGCAGCAUUUUGUGAUGGAUAUAGUCAUAGUUGUCGUCGACUUCCUUCUUUCAUAACAGCUUGUUUAGCGGCGAUGCUUGUAUUUUCAAUCCUAUGGUCACGCUAGUGCUGCUGCCAGCAGUGGAUGGAGAGUCAAAAGAAAGGAAAUUAUAACAAUCGUAAUAAUAAAAAUUGCAGCUAAAUGUUUCAUGAAUAAUCAGUUUUACGUUUAUUAUUUAUCACAGGUAAACUAAAUGGAUUUAGAUAUUAAUUCUCACGAGAGAUUUUGUAAUCAAAAAAUAUAAGUAAUAAAAAAAAAAGUUAGGCCUUUUAAUUGUGUGUAACGAGAAUAGUCGUGAUUACGAAUUUUUGUACACGACAAUUGACGACUCGUGUUACUGCGAUUUAAAUAAUUUAUAUUCAAAUUAACUAUAAUUAAUCAGACUUUAAUUUAGUCGAAAUUAUUCUUUAAUAAAUUGUCUUUGUGUUAGUAUAUAGUUUGACCCAUUUAAGCGUAAUCAAAAGAGUGUAGAGAUAAUUCAAUGUGAGCGAUUAAGUUGGGAACAAUUGGUCGAUCACUGGCCCUUUCGGCAUUCAAAAAUUGUUAAAUUUGGAGCUUCAAAAGAAGCCUCCCAAAUGAUUUGUUAAACAUAAAACAUUAUAUGUUUGUUUGAAUUUAGGAAGCUUUCUGAAAGUAAAAAGGCGAAUAAAAAUAUGUUAUUUUGGAAUUAGUAACGUGAUAUGCCUUUGAGCUACAAUUUUUGAAAAAAAAGUUAGCUUAUAUUUCAGGAGUAUAUUCAAAAACACUAUUAUCUUGAAUUUUAUAAAAGAAAAUGAGACAUGACGAGUCACUCUAAAAUAACUAAAAAACACUUAGUGAAAAUGAAAAUGUUAAUUGCCAAUUAAAGCUUGAGAAUUGUUGAGAUUCCGUAUAAAAAAGUGUUAUAUCGUUGAAAAUACGGUAGACUUCCCGUUUUUGGCCGCUCGAUGCCCUAUUUUAAACACGUCAAAUAAUAAAAAAGUAAUCUGGGCAUCGGUUGGCCUUGCAGGCCAACCCCAGAACUUCCCGUUGUUUUUGAGCUCCUUUAGCUCGAAAACAUUGUUGUGAGUAUACUUUCGAGCUCUUUGAGCACGAAAAUAUUCUUGGAUGUGUAACAGGGAACUUUGAAUUUUCCGCGCUCAAUUGCCGUGAUUUUCUAUCAUGUGCGCGGUCGAUAUAAUCUAUUACUGCCCCAGGGUUAUCCGGGGUAGAGUGCGACUGUCGUCCCGCGCGGAAAUCGUAGGGGCUUGCUUGUCAGUCCCACUUAGUGAUAAGCAGGGGUGGCGAAGUUUCCGGAAAUUGCCGAAUUCGGUCGAGUGGGUGUACAAUUAUAAGUGAAGAGAAAACCUAGGCCGAGACACACAACCGGACAAGACGCCAAGCAAUUAAGACGCUCUUCAUCAUUCAGGUAAUUAAAAAAUUUUAGACUUCGAUUCUUUUGUGGAACCAAGCGAUAUUUUUAUUAACUAUUAUUGAUACCAGGCCGUUAGCCGGUACCCUUGAUAUCAUUGUAUUAAUUAUUUUGAAAAGCAGGUGAAGGAGCCAGCACCAAAGAGAAUGAAAAAGACGAGAAAUAACAGGAGCAAAGACGCGAGACAAAACAGGAGAACGCGACGAACGAGACGACAACAAAAGGAUCUGACGAGAGACGGGGAAAUAAAGAGAACCGCAUCAGAAAGUAAUCAUGUAUUAAUUAAAUUAAUUAUUUUAGGCCGUAGCCAGGAUAUUAAUUUAAUUGCAUAAUUACUUAGUCGUUCGUCGAGGUAAUCCGCGUCUAGGCCCAUUGUCAAUAAUUAAUUAGUUAUAAAAUUAAUUUAUUAAUAAAAAUUAAGCCAGACGGUUGUCUAACCGGGUCCAGGCCCAAUUGCCGGGUCCAGAGCAUUGUCUUAAAAUUCCAGGCCAUCGCCGGAAUUAUAUGCGUCGUAGAAAAUUCUAGGCCGAUCGUAAAUGACGAGCCAGAAUUUUCUAUAUCCUAGUCCGCGUUGUUAUAAAUUAAUUAUUAAUUAAAAUAAUUAAAAUAACCAAAGUAAAUAUUAGUUAAAUUAAUUAAAUGGACCAAAUUUAUAAUUAAAGUAAAUUAAUAAUAAAUAAAAUUAGUUAAUAAAAUUAUCAUAAACAAUACUCGGUACAAAGGAAAAUCUAUCAAGUAAAACGUCGAGUAAUUUGAGUGUCGAGUCAAGAAGAUAGAAUUGAGAUUUUACUAACAAAACUUAAAAUAUUAAUUCUAGUAAAAUUUGGAUCAGUAUUAUAUUGAAGAAAUAGUGUUUAGUGGUUGGAAAGGAGUUAUAUUGAAAUUAAUUAAUUAAUAAUAAUAAUUUUUCUUCUAAAUUAAUUAAUGAAUUUAUUAAAGUGCGUAGCGGGGAUCGCCAUUUUUAAUUCAGUGUGUGUGAGUAAGUCCAGGGGACUCGAGUGCAGUGUGUGUGUAGGAAAUGAAUUUAAAAAUGUAUAGAAUAGUUAAUAAAUAAUUCGGGAGGUAACCGAUUUUAAAUUGUAAGUCCAAACGUAGUUGGCAAUGAUUUUAACUGAGUGUGAGUGUGUGUGUGAUGCCAAGGUAGUGGCUAUGUAGUUAAGUAAAGUAAGUCCAAAGGUAAUUGGCAAAAGUUAUAAGGUUAAAAGAUUAAUAGUUAUAAGGUCUAAAGGUUAUAAGGUCCAAAGGUUUAAUAGUUGUAAGAUAUAAGUUAUAAGAUAUAAAUUACAAGAUCUAAAGUUAUAAGGUUUAAGGUCAAAGGUUAUAAGUUAUAAAAUUAUAAGGAUUUAAUUACAAGGUUGUGAAUUAAUAAAAGUGAAUAUUGUGAUAAUAAAUGAAUCUAGUUAUUUAUAAAAUUAUCCUUCCUCUUCCUUCUCUUACAAUUAAAAUUUACACCGACCCUGAGAAUUAAGAACCGGUUCUGGAAGACCGUUUAAUCCUUCCAGUGGCGCCCUUAAAAAGGUAAUUUAAGGACGACCAGAGUAACAGCUUAGCUCUGUUAUAGAUGUCAAUGGUUUCUUACGAGCUUUUCAAACUCAAACACAUUGUCGUACAUUAGAUCAUGAUUUAUUCGGGGAAAAUGAUAUAAAAUGUUAUAUUUUUCAAUUCUUUGUCGUUGAUUUCCUUUGAACUAAUUGAGUUUGACUGAGUUUUUGAGCUAAUUAAAUUUUGGAAAUGAUAAGUGCACUCGUUUUGAAGAUAUUCACAACAAACUCUUUCUUACCAUUUCUUUCUCCGAAGAUAUUUCUCGAACGAAUUAAGCGAUCGAGAUGGUUCAGGCAGCAGUCAACGCGUCUUUUUAAAUUCUAGAGCUGAUUAGAUUUUAGCUACAAUGAUUUGUAUCGGUUAA